rnacentral:rRNA from 1 species
GAUGAACGCUGGCGGCGUGCCUAAUACAUGCAAGUCGAGCGAACAGACGAGGAGCUUGCUCCUCGGACGUUAGCGGCGGACGGGUGAGUAACACGUGGAUAAUCUACCUAUAAGACUGGGAUAACUUCGGGAAACCGGCGCUAAUACCGGAUAAUAUAUUGAACCGCAGGGUGCAAUAGUGAAAGACGGUUUUGCUGUCACGUCUAGAUGGAUCUGAGCCGCUUUAGCUAGUUGGUAAGGUAACGGCUUACCAAGGGAAGGAUGCGUAGCCGACCUGAGGGGGUGGUCGCCCACCCUGGAACUGAGCCACGGUCCUUGCUCCUGCGGGACGCAGCAGUCGGCAAUCUUCCGCAGUGGUCGAAAACUUGGCGGAACAGCGCCGCGUGAGUGGUGAAGGUCUUCGGAUCGUAAUGCUCUGUUAUUAGUGAUGAACAGAUGUGUAAGUUGCUGUGCACGUCUUGACGGUACCUGGUCAGAAGGCAACGGCUAACUACGUG